rnacentral:lncRNA from 9 species
CUACAUAUUACCUGUCCUAUGUGAGAAACGCAUCUUUGUGAACUUUUGCUUCAUCUUUUAGGUAAAUGAUUAGAACAUGCUUUGCUUCUCCUGUCUUGCAGGGAGACUGAAUGUGACCCUGACUGUGAAAUCUGUGUUCCUGAUAGAAUUAUAUAGAUACAAUCUUCUACUAAUAGCAGCACUUUGGCUUAGUGGUGGCUGGAUCUGUAUUAAUAUUUUGGGUCUUAAUUGGUGACUGGAUCGACAGGAAACCAAAAAAGAAAGAAUGCCUCUGUCACCACCUGCUGUCCUGAUGCUUGUGUCCUCCUGCAGAAGGGAGCUGGAACAGUUCUGGCACUGCUGGCUCACCGUGUCUUCCAUCCACCCUGUGUGCCGUGAGAGUAAACGUCAGAGGCAAGACGCGAAUGCCCUUCAGUGAGUCAUCUCUGGGUGGUCCUGCUCACUGAUUUGGGAUCUAACUAAUCUUUAAGCAGUGUUCUCCUCACCCGUAAUUUUCAAAUCAGAGCCUAAAUCUCACAGACAUGAAGGCAAUGGAACAGCAGCGUCUCUGUCUGCAAGGUGGUCUGCUAUGCAGUCGUGAUCACUCUGGUGGCCUUGGCGAACCUGGCCAGCACGGCACUGACCAUUACCAUUCGGAGAGACUGGGUUGUGAGCCAGGUGACAGCAGAGGCCAGCUGGCUGGUGAGCUGUGCCACCCCAAGACACAACAGAGCAUCACAGCUUCUCUAAUCUGCUGAGAAGUAUCUGGUCCUUCGACCUCACCGUGACCCAGCUUCUUCAGGAGAACAUUCCAGAAGCAGAGCAAGGGGCUGCGAACGGUGUGCAAUGCUUCCUGAACCACCUCAUGGCCCUCCAUCCACUUCGUCUGGGUCAUGCUGGCUCUGCGGCCAUGGCAUUUCAGCGUCUCGUCUUCAUCUUCAUCCUAUUUGUAACCAUGGGGCACAUGCUGUAUUUUUUUUUUUUUAAUGCAAGAAAGUGUAAGAUUAGAAACGCCCAUGUUCAGAAGACAGCAAAGAAGGGAGCUUUAACCUGACAGGUAGGCAGCCCCUCUCACCACUCAGAGCCCUAACUGGCCCUCACUCACACUGUUUGCAGUGAUUUCCCAAAGUUGCUGCUGGCUGCCUACCUCAUUCUGCUACUACAUUGGAGAGUGAUUCUGUCAUUCACCACCUUUGCCAGUAGCACCAACUGCGUUAAAGACAUCUUUGCGGCGAUGGCUACUAGCUGGAGUUUGAAAUGGGGCUGACGCAUGGCACGCCCAUUAUCUGAACUCAGAUUCUGCUCCAGACGACUUGAAG